GGGGCUUCCAAGGAGGUCUGGUGUAGGCCUCUGUGAAGCCUGAACUCCAGUAGGGCCCAAGCCAGCCAGGAAGGAGGAGGCAGCCAGAGAGGCCUCCACUGUUCUCUGCAGCAGAAGACCCCCUGCUGCCAGGAAGGUGCCUUCUAGAAGCUAUAAUCCCAGCAGGAGAGCUUCUCCAUUUAAUCAAAGCAGCUUAAUGGGCUAAAGAAGCCCAGACCCUCCAACAUUUCACAAAUCAAAACAGGGAUGCACUUGCAACCGCCAACUCUCCUAACAAGGAUGAUUGCCCAAGCCCCCCGACCUGCUGUUGCACAUUGCUGAAGACUGGAUUCCAUCCCCUAUUUGGGGUGAAUUGCAUAGUGCCGUACUGUUGUGUACUCACUGACAUGCAGGUACACUAGAAAUACCAAUGCAUCCACCCACCUACUUGGAGAUUUAAUUAGUAGAGAUCUGGAAGGAAGCUGAAUCCUGAGGAAUGACAACUCUAGCAAUGCACAUGGAAAAGAACAAGGUGUAUGUCUCUCAGAGGCUAAAACAGGGACAAAACAAGAAGCAAAGAUUCCAGGAAACAAGAACUUUUGCUGGUAGAUAGGGACAGUUGGAGCAUAUGCUUCCAGUCUGACAUCAG